rnacentral:lncRNA from 1 species
AAUUGCGAGGGGGCAUUGGGAUUUGGGAGGAGAGAGAUGUGGGUGGGGAGGAGAGCAGGGGCGGAUUUUCUAGUUGGAUCGUAGGUCGGGCGAAGCUGGGCCCAUUUGCUAGCUGUGAUCCAAAACCCGAGCACUAGUAAUUCCUUUCCCGUCCUACUGCUACUACUACUGCAUUUUGAAUUUUUGAAUUUUCAAGCUAUGGUAAAUGGUGAUUCUCAUUGCCAGUGGGAAAACCGCGCUUACAACUUUCCUAUGGCGCUUUUCUCCAACGCGUGCGAAUGCGAUGUGUAG